GGGGAUGUAGCUCAACUGGUAGAGCACCUGCUUUGCAAGCAGGGGGUUACGGGUUCGAGUCCCGUCUUCUCCA
rnacentral:tRNA from 1 species